AGAGUUUGUCCUGGCUCAGGAUGAACGCUGGCGGCGUGCUUAACACAUGCAAGUCGAACGAACCUUCGGGUUAGUGGCGGACGGGUGAGUAACGCGUGAGAAUCUGCCCUCAGGAGGGGGAUAACAGUUGGAAACGACUGCUAAUACCCCAUAUGCCGAGAGGUGAAAUGAAUUUCGCCUGGGGAUGAGCUCGCGUCUGAUUAGCUUGUUGGUGGGGUAAUAGCCUACCAAGGCUUCGAUCAGUAGCUGGUCUGAGAGGACGAUCAGCCACACUGGGACUGAGACACGGCCCAGACUCCUACGGGAGGCAGCAGUGGGGAAUUUUCCGCAAUGGGCGAAAGCCUGACGGAGCAACGCCGCGUGAGGGAUGGAGGCCUUUGGGCUGUAAACCUCUUUUCUCAAGGAAGAAGAUCUGACGGUACUUGAGGAAUAAGCCACGGCUAAUUCCGUGCCAGCAGCCGCGGUAAUACGGGAGUGGCAAGCGUUAUCCGGAAUUAUUGGGCGUAAAGCGUCCGCAGGCGGCCGUUUAAGUCUGUUGUUAAAUCGUGGAGCUCAACUCCAUCACGGCAAUGGAAACUGUUCGGCUUGAGUAUGGUAGGGGCAGAGGGAAUUUCCGGUGUAGCGGUGAAAUGCGUAGAUAUCGGGAAGAACACCAGUGGCGAAAGCGCUCUGCUGGGCCUUUACUGACGCUCAUGGACGAAAGCCAGGGGAGCGAAAGGGAUUAGAUACCCCUGUAGUCCUGGCCGUAAACGAUGAACACUAGAUGUUGGGGGAAUCGACCCCCUCGGUGUCGUAGCUAACGCGUUAAGUGUUCCGCCUGGGGAGUACGCACGCAAGUGUGAAACUCAAAGGAAUUGACGGGGGCCCGCACAAGCGGUGGAGUAUGUGGUUUAAUUCGAUGCAACGCGAAGAACCUUACCAAGGCUUGACAUCCUGCGAAUCUCUAAGAAAUUAGAGAGUGCCUUCGGGAACGCAGUGACAGGUGGUGCAUGGCUGUCGUCAGCUCGUGUCGUGAGAUGUUGGGUUAAGUCCCGCAACGAGCGCAACCCACGUUUUUAGUUGCCAGCAUUCAGUUGGGCACUCUAGAAAGACUGCCGGUGACAAACCGGAGGAAGGUGUGGACGACGUCAAGUCAUCAUGCCCCUUACGCCUUGGGCUACACACGUACUACAAUGCUGCGGACAAAGAGUAGCGAUCUUGCGAAAGUUAGCUAAUCUCAUAAACCGUGGCUCAGUUCAGAUCGUAGGCUGCAACUCGCCUACGUGAAGGAGGAAUCGCUAGUAAUCGCAGGUCAGCAUACUGCGGUGAAUACGUUCCCGGGCCUUGUACACACCGCCCGUCACACCGUGGAAGUUGGCCAUGCCCGAAGUCGUUACUCUAACCUUUUGGAAGAGGGCGCCGAAGGCAGGGCUAAUGACUGGGGUGAAGUCGUAACAAGGUAACC
rnacentral:rRNA from 1 species